rnacentral:rRNA from 1 species
CCUACGGGUGGCUGCAGUGGGGAAUAUUGGACAAUGGGGGGAACCCUGAUCCAGCCAUGCCGCGUGUGUGAAGAAGGCCCUCGGGUUGUAAAGCACUUUCAGUGAGGAAGAACGCCUGGUGGUUAAUACCCAUCAGGAAAGACAUCACUCACAGAAGAAGCACCGGCUAACUCCGUGCCAGCAGCCGCGGUAAUACGGAGGGUGCGAGCGUUAAUCGGAAUUACUGGGCGUAAAGCGCGCGUAGGUGGCUUGAUAAGCCGGUUGUGAAAGCCCGGGGCUCAACCUGGGAACGGCAUCCGGAACUGUCAAGCUAGAGUGCAGGAGAGGAAGGUAGAAUUCCCGGUGUAGCGGUGAAAUGCGUAGAGAUCGGGAGGAAUACCAGUGGCGAAGGCGGCCUUCUGGACUGACACUGACACUGAGGUGCGAAAGCGUGGGUAGCAAACAGGAUUAGAUACCCUUGUAGUC